rnacentral:rRNA from 1 species
UACGGAAGGCAGCAGUGGGGAAUAUUGCACAAUGGGCGCAAGCCUGAUGCAGCCAUGCCGCGUGUAUGAAGAAGGCCUUCGGGUUGUAAAGUACUUUCAGUCGUGAGGAAGGUGUUAAGGUUAAUAACCUUAGCAAUUGACGUUAGCGACAGAAGAAGCACCGGCUAACUCCGUGCCAGCAGCCGCGGUAAUACGGAGGGUGCGAGCGUUAAUCGGAAUUACUGGGCGUAAAGGGCACGCAGGCGGUUAAUAAGUUGGAUGUGAAAUCCCCGGGCUUAACCUGGGAAUGGCAUUCAAGACUGGUUAGCUAGAGUCUUGUAGAGGGGGUAGAAUUCCAUGUGUAGCGGUGAAAUGCGUAGAGAUGUGGAGGAAUACCGGUGGCGAAGGCGGCCCCUGGGACAAGACUGACGCUCAUGUGCGAAAGCGUGGGGAGCAAACGAGGAUUAGAU